AACGCUAGCGGCAGGCUUACACAUGCAAGUCGAGGGGUAACGAUUCUGAGCAAUCGGAAGUCGACGACCGGCGCACGGGUGAGUAUCGCGUAUGUAACCUACCUUUGACUGGAGAAUAGCCCGAAGAAAUUCGGAUUAAUACUCCAUAAAACUGUGAGAAGGCAUCUUUUUACAGUUAAAGCUUCGGCGGUCUUAGAUGGGCAUGCGUAACAUUAGCUAGUUGGUGAGGUAAUAGCUCACCAAGGCUACGAUGUUUAGGGGGUCUGAGAGGGUGGUCCCCCACACUGGUACUGAGACACGGACCAGACUCCUACGGGAGGCAGCAGUGAGGAAUAUUGGUCAAUGGGCGAAAGCCUGAACCAGCCAUGCCGCGUGAAGGAUGACGGCCCUAUGGGUUGUAAACUUCUUUUAUACGGGAAGAAACCCCUCUACGUGUAGAGGGCUGACGGUACCGUACGAAUAAGCAUCGGCUAACUCCGUGCCAGCAGCCGCGGUAAUACGGAGGAUGCAAGCGUUAUCUGGAUUUAUUGGGUUUAAGGGUGCGUAGGCGGAAAAUUAAGUCAGUGAUGAAAUCCUGCAGCUUAACUGUAGAAUUGUUAUUGAUACUGAUUUUCUUGAAUACAGUUGAGGUAGGCGGAAUGUGUAAUGUAGCGGUGAAAUGCUUAGAUAUUACACAGAACACCGAUUGCGAAGGCAGCUUACUAAACUGUGAUUGACGCUGAGGCACGAAAGCGUGGGGAGCGAACAGGAUUAGAUACCCUGGUAGUCCACGCUGUAAACGAUGAUCACUCGUUGUUGGCAAUACAUCGUCAGCGACUGAGCGAAAGCAUUAAGUGAUCCACCUGGGGAGUACGAUCGCAAGAUUGAAACUCAAAGGAAUUGACGGGGGCCCGCACAAGCGGAGGAACAUGUGGUUUAAUUCGAUGAUACGCGAGGAACCUUACCUGGGCUUAAAUGCAUAACGACGGACCGGGAAACUGGUCUUUCUUCGGACGGAAUGCAAGGUGCUGCAUGGCUGUCGUCAGCUCGUGCCGUGAGGUGUCGGGUUAAGUCCCAUAACGAGCGCAACCCUCAUCAUUAGUUGCCAGCGGGUAAUGCCGGGGACUCUAAUGAAACUGCCGGUGUAAACCGAGAGGAAGGUGGGGAUGACGUCAAGUCAGCACGGCCCUUAUGUCCAGGGCUACACACGUGUUACAAUGGUCAGUACAAAGGGCAGCUACCAGGCAACUGGAUGCUAAUCUCUAAAACUGGUCUCAGUUCGGAUCGGAGUCUGCAACUCGACUUCGUGAAGUUGGAUUCGCUAGUAAUCGCGCAUCAGCCAUGGCGCGGUGAAUACGUUCCCGGGCCUUGUACACACCGCCCGUCAAGCCAUGGAAGCCGGGGGUACCUGAAGU
rnacentral:rRNA from 1 species